rnacentral:rRNA from 1 species
UAACCGGCGAUACCCGAAUGGGGAAACCCAGUGUGAUUCGUCACACUAUCAUUAACUGAAUCCAUAGGUUAAUGAGGCGAACCGGGGGAACUGAAACAUCUAAGUACCCCGAGGAAAAGAAAUCAACCGAGAUUCCCCCAGUAGCGGCGAGCGAACGGGGAGGAGCCCAGAGCCUGAAUCAGCAUGUGUGUUAGUGGAAGCGUCUGGAAAGGCGCGCGAUACAGGGUGACAGCCCCGUACACAAAAGCGCAUGUGCUGUGAGCUCGAUGAGUAGGGCGGGACACGUGGUAUCCUGUCUGAAUAUGGGGGGACCAUCCUCCAAGGCUAAAUACUCCUGACUGACCGAUAGUGAACCAGUACCGUGAGGGAAAGGCGAAAAGAACCCCGGCGAGGGGAGUGAAAAAGAACCUGAAACCGUGUACGUACAAGCAGUGGGAGCACAGGUUUACCUGUGUGACUGCGUACCUUUUGUAUAAUGGGUCAGCGACUUAUAUUCUGUAGCAAGGUUAACCGAAUAGGGGAGCCGGAGGGAAACCGAGUCUUAAUUGGGCGUUAAGUUGCAGGGUAUAGACCCGAAACCCGGUGAUCUAGCCAUGGGCAGGUUGAAGGUUGGGUAACACUAACUGGAGGACCGAACCGACUAAUGUUGAAAAAUUAGCGGAUGACCUGUGGCUGGGGGUGAAAGGCCAAUCAAACCGGGAGAUAGCUGGUUCUCCCCGAAAGCUAUUUAGGUAGCGCCUCGUGAAUUCAUCUCCGGGGGUAGAGCACUGUUUCGGCUAGGGGGCCAUCCCGGCUUACCAACCCGAUGCAAACUGCGAAUACCGGAGAAUGUUAUCACGGGAGACACACGGCGGGUGCUAACGUCCGUCGUGAAGAGGGAAACAACCCAGACCGCCAGCUAAGGUCCCAAAGUCAUGGUUAAGUGGGAAACGAUGUGGGAAGGCCCAGACAGCCAGGAUGUUGGCUUAGAAGCAGCCAUCAUUUAAAGAAAGCGUAAUAGCUCACUGGUCGAGUCGGCCUGCGCGGAAGAUGUAACGGGGCUAAACCAUGCACCGAAGCUGCGGCAGCGACACUG